ACAGACCUUGAAUGGUGCCAAGUUAUCAAAGUUUCCCGCGAUGGAGUCAAACAAGUUCACGACUUGGCUCGACUAUGCAGCAGCAAUAAGGUCUCGUUUACAAAUUUGUAAUUUAGUACGUUUUUUGCGAUGUCAAAAAAACAAAAAAAAAAAACCUCCAAACCCCCACUCCUUCCCAUGGCUUCUCUCUGUCACUCAAAAAUCCAAAAACCCCUGUUCUCUCUAUUUCUCUCGCACGUCCUCUCACCUCGCCUAAAUUCUCUAGCCAUCAUGGCCGAGUUUGUCGCGAUCGGUGGUUUACUACUGUCGCCGCAGGCUAGCAGCGCUACUCUUUGCUAUCUGUUUCACUCUCCUCUGUUUUCUGCUGCGUGUUGUUGUUAUUGUGUCUGUGUUGCUCCCGACACUGUCGUGCGGUGCUACUGUCGUAACUGUUAUGCAGUGUUACCGCUCUGUCGUGACCCAUCUUGAGGUGCCACACUUCACCUCUUCAUCUCCUUUCUUUCUGUCAAGUUAUGUCUCUUAAUUAAUUGAAUAGUUUUAAGUUGAAUUGAAUCUGAAUGAUUGGAUUUCAUUAGCUAAUCCUAUUUUUGUUGUGUGUGCAAUUGGCUUGAAUGAUAUAGCUCAUAAUAUUAUCAUUGAUAUAUACAUGUUGAGUUAUAAACUUUGAUUAUGGAUCAUACUGAUGAGAGAAUCAAAAUAUGACUAAUGCAUGUCCAAAUUGUUAUUUGAUUUAGGUUUACAUUAUCUGAUUUAAAUGAUUGGGAAGUUACAAGAUGGUAUUAGAGCAACCCUGCGAUCUUGUGUUGUGUAGCCACCUAGCGGUGGUAAAAGAUCAUUGGAAUUAACCGGAAUUCGUUUUGGGCAAUUAGAGGUAAGAUAUGAGUUGAGAGAGUUUUUUUUAUUAUUCAUUUGGGAUAUAAUCAUUUGGAUUAUAAAAGUAUUUUGGAAAAUUAGAGUUAUGAGUUGAGUAUUGUGUGAAAUAUCGUUUAAAGGAGGAGAUUAUUGGAGUUUUGUUUCUAAUUUGGGUUAUUAGCAGCUAAGAAUUGAGCAAUGGAUUAUGGAGAUCAAGUUUGGUCUUAAUGAAUUAGAAUUUCUUUUGUUAGACCUUGGGGAUUGUUUUGUUUUGCCAUUGAUAUUGAUUUUGAUCUACUUGUCUGAUUAUUUUUCAAAUGUCAAACUCUUAUAUCUUUAUGGUAUAACCCCAUUUCAUAGAUGUUCAUUUCAAAGUUCAUGGACGAACUCUUUUUUUUUAAGGGUGGUGUAAUGUAAUGCUUGGUAUGUUUCCAUGAUUGCUAUAACUCAAAUCAUGAUUGUAUUUCAUGUUGUACAGGGUAAUUGUACAUAACUUCUAUUUAUUAGAUUAAAGUGUGAUGUUCAUAAAAAUUUUAUAGUUUGAAUAGUCUAUAAGGAUUUCAUCAAAUGAGUUUUACUUUAAAUGAGGUAAUUGGAAUCUAAUGUCAGCAAGUUUGCCCCUUUUGCUCCUCAAUUUCGCAAAUCGAGUUGAAGUAUAGUUUCAAAAGAUGAUGACAUAAUGGAGGCUGGACAUCUAAUAUCUUGGCAUCUUGAGAUUUUUUUUUUGUUUAUUUAAAUGGAUUGGGGAUAUAAGUGUGACACUUUCUCUUGAUUACAUGUUUAAUUGAGUGUGAUUUAUAAAAUUGUUUUACUUAUUAGUGUUUCAAAUGUUUGAUUCCGAGUUUCGGGGACGAAACUUCUUAUACGGGUGGUAGAGUAUAACAUUCCAGAUUUUUAAAAGCGUUUACUAAAUGCUUAUCAUAUUUAUUAAGUUAAUUAUGUUUCGAAUAUUCUUACUUUAUUUAAGUUGGACUACGAAUUUUUAUUUGUCGCGUAUGUAAUAUACUUGUUAUAUUAAUUUUAUGAAGUUGGUAUUAUUAAAUGUAUUUUGAGUUUUAUGGAUCAAAAACUUGUUCAGUAUUAUUUGCCAAAAAACGUAACUAAUAUUUUGUUCUCAUGUAGUCAGUUUUCUUGCCACUGAUAAAAACCCCAAACCCCCACUCCUUCUCGUGGCUUCUCUCUGUCACUCAAAAACCAAAAAAAAAAAAACCCUUGUUCUCUCUCUAUCUCUCGCACGUCCUCUCACCUCAUCUGAAUUCUCUAGCCACCAUGGCCGAGUUUGCUGCGGUCGGCGGUGCACUGCUGCCGCCGCAGGCUAGCGACGCUGGCCUCCGGUGUCUGUUUCUCUCUCCUCUGUUUUCUACUGCGUGUUGCUGCUGUUGUGUUAGUGUUGCUGCCGACACUAUCGUGUAAUGUUGUCGCUCUAUCGUGACCCAUCUUGAGAUGAGGAUGGGGAAUCUGAUGAAGAAGAAGAUUUGAAAUAUUUGAGAGAGCCUCUGGUUCAAGAAGGGCUUGAUACAAGUGAUGAUGAACAGAGGGUAGCUAGGGAUAGAGUAAAAGGUUUUAAUUGUGGUAUUAUAGAACUUGCACAUAAACUGCAAGUAGAGGCAGCUCAGGGAAAACUUGCUGCAAAACGGAGGGAAGAAGGGUCAACUUUAGAUGUUAGGAAGGUGGGAAACAAUGUUUCUGAGUAUGAUGACUCUGAGGUAGAAAUACAUAUACCUCCACCCAGUGGCGGAUUUAGCUACCACCACCAUGGUGCACGUGCACCAGCAAUAAAAAAAAAGAAAAAAAAUUACUUUUCUCACGCACGAAAAUGUCACGGUUAUUUUUCCACAUCUCAACUCUUCUCAAACCUCAGUUCUCCCUUUCCCUCUCAUAAAAUCUCAGUCCUUUCUUCCUCCCGUCAUCAGGAUUCCGGCCUCACCGGCGGCGUCGACGCGCGAACUUAAAGAGAAAUCGGUCAAAGUGACUCGGAGUCUCGGGGCUGUAAGCUGUAAGCAUUUGCGUGGUUGCUUCUGCAGUUCUGCUUCGUAUCCAGUGGCGAAGUGACCCGCCGACCUGCAGAAUCAGUCGGAAUUAGUGUACGACAGUGGUUGAUUUCUUGUUCUGGAUGAGUGUCGAAGUCUCAGAGGUACAUUGUACAUCUUAAUAUUUUCAACUUGCUUGAUUUCUUGUUUUACUUUAUAGAUUAGGAUUUAUGAAUUUAUGAGAAUUGGAAAAUAAAUUGCAAUUUCACUUGUUAUGGGUGUUUAUAUAUAUCAAAUUAUAUAAUUUAGAAUUCUAUAAAUGUGGAUUUUAUUGUUGUA